AUUGAACGCUGGCGGCAGGCCUAACACAUGCAAGUCGAGCGGAUGAAGGGAGCUUGCUCCUGGAUUCAGCGGCGGACGGGUGAGUAAUGCCUAGGAAUCUGCCUGGUAGUGGGGGAUAACGUCCGGAAACGGGCGCUAAUACCGCAUACGUCCUGAGGGAGAAAGUGGGGGAUCUUCGGACCUCACGCUAUCAGAUGAGCCUAGGUCGGAUUAGCUAGUUGGUGGGGUAAAGGCCUACCAAGGCGACGAUCCGUAACUGGUCUGAGAGGAUGAUCAGUCACACUGGAACUGAGACACGGUCCAGACUCCUACGGGAGGCAGCAGUGGGGAAUAUUGGACAAUGGGCGAAAGCCUGAUCCAGCCAUGCCGCGUGUGUGAAGAAGGUCUUCGGAUUGUAAAGCACUUUAAGUUGGGAGGAAGGGCAGUAAGUUAAGACCUUGCUGUUUUGACGUUACCAACAGAAUAAGCACCGGCUAACUUCGG
rnacentral:rRNA from 1 species